CUUGGUGUAGGUGAAAUGGCCCCAUUAGCUGGAAUUGGGGUUACACCACCUACAACAACAAAUGACAAAACUUAUUAUCAUUCCUUCUUUUUCUUUUCACAUCUAUGGAUAUGCUUAUUAUCAUGACCUGAGAAAGAAAAGAAAAUUAGAUACUACAGAGAAUCAAAUGGGCCUUAAGAAUAAGAUCCUCCUACCUUGGACAUAGAAGGGCAAUAUGACUGGAUUACAAUUUUCAACCACAUAAAGAUCUGUUAAAUGUUCUUUUAGAAAGUAAUCAUAAAGGAAGCACCACUUGGAUUUACCAUCAACAAAUGAUGGAAAAUUUCAAAUUUGAGGCCUCGGCAUUACAUCGAGCACCUGGUGGGCAGAAUUUGCAAGCCAGUUUUAUAGGACUCAAAAUCACAAAUAAUAAAAAAAAACAUACAAAAAAUAAGGAAAGAACGGAUCCAAUGGCACAUACAUGGCUACUUUAUCCUUCAUGUAAAUAUGGUUUUUCGAAUUCUGCCAUUGUUAUCAGAUCUUGAAACUUUUCUACAAUAGAAAAAUCAUUUGUUAAAAAUAAACUGAAACAACUAUGAAAUAAAAUAAAUCAGAGACUGUCAUACCUUCUUGACAGAUUUUUGCACACACUAUUGCACUGCUCAUAUAUUUAUCAAGCCCAAGAAACAUAUCUACACGUAAAUAUAGAAUCAGGAGUUGUUUCAGUUCUAACACAAACUCGACCUCAAUUUGAUGUAUGGUCAUCCUUCCACCUGAAAAGUAAGAAAAAAAUAGAUACAUUGUAAUUUAUUCACUACAAAUUUGCCACAAAACAUACCUGAUGUGGUGGAAAUGAGGUUCCCAUCUGCAAAAAAAAAAAACAUAUUUAUAUAAAGAGAACAAGCCCAGAUUUCACACAUUGUCUAUAACUAUCGAUUUUAACAUAUAGUGUCCUGGAGUUGUAGCUAACAUCCAUGCUACCAAUUACCAAAGUAGAGCAAAUUCCCAUUUAACGUCAGGCAUGUUGCUCUGUAAUAACCUUCGUUCCCCUCUACCUUUAUCCCGAAAUCAAAGAUGGCUUACCAUCAUAUGGAAAAUUUAGUAUCAGUUUUGAAAUCUUGAUUCUGUGUUUCAAGGUAUUUCUCAAUUCCCUUGAUUAUUUGUUCUCAUUUUUUUCUAAUGCAUAGACAAUGCAUGCUAACUGUUUGUGGAAAUGCCCAAGUGAAACUAAUCUGGGAUUUUGCGUUUUUGCUAUGCGUUAAGGUUUUCAUAUGUAUGAACUGCAUAUCAAUGAAGCAUGAUAUUACUUAAAUUCCAUUUUUUUUAUCUUCAUGGAGUUAUCUUAUGUUUGGAACAUCCUUGCUUUAUUGGUACUCUUCGUGUUUCUCUCUCUCCAAUUUUGACCAGAUUGGAAGUUUUCACAGGAGUUCCUCAAGGGUGAAUAUUUUGCACACAAACUUUUCUUUUUUCUAAAUAUGAAGUACUUUUUUAGUUAAUCAUGUUGGGGAUAUAUAGUAACUGACUACUUCUCACUUGAUAUCAUUUGAUGGGAAGAAAAUAUAAGCUGAGUUUCUGUUGCAUCAUGAAAUUUUCAGGUAAACUAUAUGAAAUGUUAUUUUGGAUAUAUAGUACAAUGCAUUCUUUUUAGGGUUAAAUUGCAAUAAAGAGCAAUGCACUUUGACUUCAUUUCUAAUUUGAUAAUUAGACUUUAUAAAUCGUUUUCCAAAAAUGAAUCUUUGAUGUAAAUUUGAAAAACUUAUAAAAUGAUGAGGUAGUUUGAUGAUUUUACUACCUAUUUUCGAAAGUUAGGUGAUUUUGGUGAACAUUUUUAAAGUUUUGUGAUCAGGGAGGUUUUACUUCAAGGGAAAGGAUAAAAAUAUACUUGAGAAGUUGAUUUAUCUUUUGAUUUCUUUUAUAUAUUAUUAUAGUUUUCAAUCUUUAUAUCUAUUUAACAUCUUUCCUUGUGGUCCUGUUAUCUAAUCUUGGUCCAUGGCUGUCAAAUUUAACAGCCCAAAUGUUAAGUUUGGGAAAAUGGCAAUUAUUAAACAAAUGUAUAAAUGGGGGCAAAAUCGUCAUUCGAUAUUUUUGACAUAUGUUUUCCUAUUGGGGGUGAGGUGUUUGCAUCUUGCUACUAUAGGUAAAGAAUUGCAUGUUAAUGCUCUGAUGGGUAAAAACAAAAUACAUCACCCCUAUUAUGUUAAAUGCUUCAAGUAGCACUGGAUUUAUGAUGAGUUGUUUAUUAAAAUUUAUUAUUUCAGUGGUAAAACUUGUGUGGAUGCUAGGACUCCUUGGAAGAGGGUUGUGUAUAGUUAGCACUAACUAUAGCUUCCCCUAUUGCUUUUUAGCUUUGAAGCAUUUGUCCGAAGUUGACCUAAAAUACCUUUAUGAAGCAACAUAUAUCUGCACAGUGAUAUUUAUUCUAAUGUUUUUGUCUUUACUAAUUUAAUGGAUUUUUUCAAUUUCAAGCUUGAAGUGUAGCGUUUGGUCUAAAUUAUUGUGCCAAGGAGAGCUUAUUAUGGACACCUGCCACAAAAAGUAUGUAUCCUGCACAUAUCAUAUUAAAUUCUAUUUUUUGGCAUAUAAUUUUGUUUGGUAGUGAGUAAGUUGUAAAUUUAUAUACUUCUUCCAGCCUGAUUAAGGUUCAAUCAUAUAUAACUUUUUUAGUUUAAAGUAAUAUUUUUUUAAUAAAAAAAGUCAUUAAAUUCCAAAGAACUUUUAAUAAAAGUAAUAUAAUUUUUGUUGUUUUAGAAAACUAAAAUGGUAUUUUUUAAUAAAAACUCUCUCUCUCUCUCUCUCUCUCUCNAAAACAAUAAAAUUAUUUUUUUAUAAAAACUCUCUCUCUCUCUCUCUCUCUCUCUCUCUCUCUCUCUCUCUCUCUCUCUCUCUCUCUCUCUCUCGUAUACCACACGGAGAACAUACACACCUCACAAACUCCUGGCUACGGAGAAGCACAUUAUAUAUCAUCACCAUGGCUACCAUGGCCACCAUCGUCGACCUCCACUGGCCACUAUGCUAGAUUGGCAAUGGGUGGUGCUUUGUGUUGGUAGCUUUGAGUCAUUAUAUCCUUAGUAGAAGCAUAAACCCCUAGAAUACUCAUGAUUUUACCAUUCUAGCAUUGAAAUUUGAAUUUCUCUUUUAAACAAUAUACUUUGGGUAGUGGUUUGAAAUUCAAGGUGACAGUUGGACUCAAUACAUUGUAUCCACUAUUAAGUCAUUCGUUUCCAACUUUGGGGGUCGUUUAAUGAUGUAUUAAGAGGCUAAGAACCAAAUUAACCCAAGAAGACAAAGUUGGAAAAUUAUAUAUUUUGCUCGUUUCUGCCAUAUUUUGCAAAAAUUAUAGAAAGAUCAGGGAAUAUUGGAAUUGAGCUAGCCAGUUCCCAACAUUCAGGUUUUUAGUCUAGCAGUUGAUGAUUUUUUCCUUGACCGAUUGAUGAAUCUAACUAGGGUGAAAAUUGUCAUUUUCACUUAUUGGUUCGAAUAUAGUUGCAUUGAUAUAUGCUGUUUUGUAAAAUUCAUAGUAAAUCAUAGAAAAAUAAGUAGGCUUAGUGUAAUAUAUCCAUUUAUAGGUAUGGAGCUGAAAUUUCUAAAUAUGUAAUAACAUUCUUGAUUGAUUGGGUUUAAGGGGAGAAAAAAUGGUCUUGAACAGACAGUUGUUUUGGGGUUAAAAACUGGAAUUUGAACUAGGACUAACUAGUUUAAAUGAUAGGCUAUUGUUUCUUAUUAAUACUCUAAAACACUUAUAUAAGGAAAAAGUAAGUGCCUUGAGUCCAUUGGAGUUUUGGUGGUUGCUCGUUGUGAUCCAUAUUAUAUUCGACGUGAGUUUCUUACUACACUAUACAAAUGUGUAUGUUCUUUUCUUAUAAUAUGUAUGGUUAUAGUAUGCAUGGUUUGGUAUUAGAGAGUGUAGAGUCUAAUAUGUAAAUUCUAUUUACUUGUUCAGUCGGGAUUGCUUUGUACUAGAUGACUACCUGUGUGGCAUGUCUCGAUUACCUUGUAUGGGAUGAUUACUUAUAUUGUAUGACUGGAUUGCUUUCUAUCGAAAGACUACCUAUGUGGUAUGUCGUACCAGAUAACUACCUGUGGUAUGUCUGGAUUGCUUUAUAUCGAAUGACUACCUAUGUGGUAUGUCUAGAUUGCCAUGUACGAGAUGACUACAUGUGUGGUAUGAUUGGCUUUCCAAUUAUGUAUAUAUAUAUAUAUAUAUAUANNNNNNNNNNNNNNNNNNNNNNNUUUUUUAUAUAUAUAUAUAUAUAUAUAUAUAUAUAUAUAUAUAUAUAUAUAUAUAAGAAUAACCUAAUUUUAUGAUACCGUGAGACGCAAUACUAGCCACUCAUUUAGUAGAUAAAAAUCUAUGCUCCCACUCCCUGUACGCACCCGUAUUAAGGACUAAGAUAUCUCAUGUAUCUUUUAUAUAUUUAGAGUCAUUUAAAUUGUAUAUAAUUAGUUGUAUUCUUUCCUAGUUUAGUGUAUAUAGUUGUGACCAUAUUCUGGCUAUAAAGAGACUCACGUUUGUACAUGUUAUUGAAGAAAUCAAUAUACGGAUGCAUAUAGUCUUUUCACUAUAUGGUAUCAGAGCUGUCAUUACUCUCACGAGUUCUUCGAUCCAACAUCCCAUCUUCUCACAAUUAGGGUUCUUCAAUAACCAACAAACAAACGCAAAUCAUAGCCGACACUCAUCUGACUACAAAACUCAUCUUUCAAUUACCUAGUUUGGCGAAAGUAGAUCGAAUCCACACUCAUUUCUUGAUGAAUCCAAUCAACCCACCAAAACAAUCAAUGACAAAGAAGGCAAGCCUAUCGCCAGUCCAGAAUAUAGUCCAUGGUAUCGCAAAGAUCAAAUGAUCUUCGGUUCCAUCCUUGGCACACUACUAGAAAAACAGCCUUUUACGACACGUAAUGCGUUUCAUAAAACGCUUAGAAGACGCGCAAAUGCGUGUCAAGGAAUGCCCUGUCAUAACGAGAGACGACAUGCUUUUGCGAGGCAUCUAUUUACGACGCGCAUUUACGACGCACAUUUACGACAAACAUUUACAACGCUCAUUUACGACACACAAUGCGUAUCAAGAAAGGACCAUGUCAUAAAGGAAGACGACAUGCAUUUGCGUGUCGUAAGUACGUGCAUUUACGACUCACAUUGCGUAUCAUUAAAUCCCCUGUCAAGAAAGGCCAUGUCAUAAAUGAAGAUGACAAACAUUUUUGCGUAUCGUAAUUUUAAAUGUUUAAAAAAAUAUUAUUUAUAGAUUUACUAAUUGUCAAAUUAAAUUUGCAUUUAAUGUCUCAUAAUAGAAAAUAAAGUAUCAUAUACAAAAAUACAAUCCAUUGCAUAAAAUUUAAUAUAAAUAUCUUACAAUAAUAAUAGUUAAAAAUAAAUCUAUAUAAAUGAUUACAUUGUUACCUUUAAAAUCAAAAAACAAUAUUUGAUGUUUUAAAUAACUAUAAUUAUAGAAAUUAAAACAAUAAGCAAAUAAAUUUUAAAAAUUUGAUCAACAAUAACAACAACUAUAAAUAACAUUAAACCAUAUAUUAUGUUUAAUUUUAUUCAUAUGUAACUCGCGUGUAGAAGUCAUUCAAACGAUUGACAUUAUGCAAUUAUAAUAGAUGUAUAUAUUAUCAUAUAAUUCAAAAUAAUCAAUAUAUUAUAUCAAUUUAGUCUACGAAUAAUUAUAUAAAAUUUAACAACAACGUUAUUAUUAUAUUAAAAAAAAACAUAUAUUUGUAAAGACUUCAACUAUAUAGGUGUUUCUGCGCAACGCGCGGGCAUUCGCCUAGUAUUCUAAUAGAGAGGUAAAUUUCAUAGCAUAUACUAACAUGAUAAAUGUCAUAACUCAUGGCAUACUAACAUGAUAAUUGACAUAUCAUCACUUGAAAAAGUUGGAUAUGCUUUUUAAUCAAGUAAUUUAAACACCAAAUAUUUGACCUUGAGAUCCCUCCUGUAAGGAGCCUAAGCAUUAUUCGGUGAGCCUAAACAUUGCACUUUCAUUACUUAUAUAACCAAUAUUAUCAAACAUUUCAUUGGUCAUUUGGAAGACACAAAUAUAAAUUGAAGUUUUUUGUGUUUUUGAUGAUUCAACAAGUUCAAAUCUUGAAGGAUCUUGUGUAAUAGAAUUUUUUUCCUUUUUUUUGAAAUGGUUGAUUGUGUAUCAGUUUUAUUUGAUUAAUGUGUUUAUAACCACUUUGAAAAAUUGGUUGUGUAAAGAAUGAUAAAAAAAAUAUUAAAACGAUGGAUUUAUUGUAAAAAAAAAAAAGGAAAAGGGAAAAUGGUGGUGUAAACAAUAAAAAUGAGCAAAGAAUAAAAAGAUGAGGGAUCUAAAGUGUAAAUAAUUACUUUUGUUAUAAUCUGCUUAUGAAGAACCAAGCAGCAGCAGCAGAAAAAAAAAAAAAAAAAAAAAAAAAAAAAAUUCAAAUCCAUUGUAUAUCUAAAUAGACUAGGGGUAUAGUUGUCAGACUCUUAAUUUAAGUGCAUUAAUCAAAUUCUUUGGUGGAAAAAUCAUUGUCCAUUUAAUUUUAUAUUUUUUCAACAUAUUUAAUUAAUGCUUCUUCAAUUAAUUUAUAAUAUAAAAAGGUACAGCAGCUUUUUUACAUUGAUUAAGAACCAAAUUUGAAACAAAUCUAACUAUUGUGAAAAAAUAAAAUUAGAGACCAAAUGUACAUUACCCAAACCAUUUGGACAAUUCGGGUAAUUUGCUCUAAUGUGAAGAAGUGAAAAACAUAGAAUUUUAUCUUAGUUAAUUUUAUCAAAAUAUUAUAUAUACGCCUUGUAAAACAAUUGAUUAUCAUAUUUUUAAUAGUAUUAUUUAAGUAGUUAUUAACUAUUUAUAAUACUCUUGAAUUAAUUAGCCAAAAUUUAAUAUUUUCUCAAAGCUAAAAUAUCAUAUAUGUUGUGUUUUGCGUUUUCGAAAAGCCAAGAAACAAGUCAGCUAUACAACAAAACAAAAAUUGACUUUGGUAAACGUUGACUCACCUACCAAACACGAGACAUUCAUCUCGAAUUUCGAUCUAUGACAACCAAAAUCAGAAGCAAUCAAACUUAUAAUUCCAGCUGUUCUGAUCAGAUACACUCUUGUAAUUCUUUUCAACUUCCAUGGCCAUCCUCACUGAAUUACCAGAAGAACAAGAAGCGGCAGGAACAUAUGAUGUUUUUCUGAGUUUCAGAGGGAAAGACACACGUCUGGGUUUUAUGGAUCACCUCUACCAAGCUUUGGUGAAUGAAAACAUCUCUACCUUUCUUGAUGAGGAAGAGGUUGAAACCGGGGAAGAACUUAAACCAGAACUUGCAAGAGCUAUAAAAAGCUCUCUUGUGCCCAUAAUUGUGUAUAUAUAUAUAUAUGUGUGUGUGUGUGUGUGUGUGUGUGUUUGUGUGUGUAAUAGGUCUAAAGUAUAUAUAUUGAUGUAUGAUGUUCUGUUGGAAUUCCUUAAGCUUCAUUCUUAGGUACUGUUAAAGGGAAAUGCAAGGCUUGACAGUACAUGCAGACAAAAUUUGAUAUUUUAUCUCAAAUGUGAGUUCAGUAACUUAAUUUCGAUGUGUAAAACUUAUGGUUUGGGAGAUAUUGUUGAAUUCUAUUAAUGUAAAUGUUUUUAAUUAAAUUUAAUGGUUUGUGUACCCUAUU
rnacentral:lncRNA from 1 species